rnacentral:rRNA from 1 species
GUCGGUACGUGCCCUCAGGUCGGGGAUAGCCAGGGGAAACUCUGAUUAAUACCCGAUAACCUCGAGAGAGCAAAGGUCCGCUGCCGGAGGAGCGGCCGACAUGGUAUCAGGUAGUUGGUGAGGUAACGGCCCACCAAGCCUUAGACGCCUAGGGGGCGUGAGAGCGCGACCCCCACCACUGGGACUGAGAUACUGCCCAGACACCUACGGGUGGCUGCAGUCGAGAAUCUUCCGCAAUGGGCGAAAGCCUGACGGAGCGACGCCGCGUGCGGGAUGAAGGCCCUUGGGUUGUAAACCGCUGUCAGGGGGGAUGAAAGCCGUAAGGCUUGACAGAGCCCCAGAGGAAGCACGGGCUAAGUUCGUGCCAGCAGCCGCGGUAAGACGAACUGUGCGAACGUUAUUCGGAAUCACUGGGCUUACAGGGUGCGUAGGCGGCCUGUUAAGUAGGGUGUGAAAUCCCCCGGCCCAACCGGGGAAUGGCGCUCUAAACUAGCAGGCUU